AAGCAAUUAUACAGCGAAACUGCGAAUGGCUCAUUAUAUAAGUUAUCGUUUAUUUGAUAGUACCUUACUACUUGGAUAACCGUGGUAAUUCUAGAGCUAAUACAUGCUGAAAAUCCCGACUUCGGAAGGGAUGUAUUUAUUAGAUUCAAAACCAAUGCCCUCUGGGCUCUCUGGUGAUUCAUGAUAACUGCUCGAAUCGCACGGCCUUGCGCCGGCGAUGGCUCAUUCAAAUUUCUUCCCUAUCAACUUUCGAUGUUUGGGUAGUGGCCAAACAUGGUUGCAACGGGUAACGGAGGGUUAGGGCUCGACCCCGGAGAAGGAGCCUGAGAAACGGCUACUACAUCCAAGGAAGGCAGCAGGCGCGCAAAUUACCCAAUCCCGACACGGGGAGGUAGUGACAAUAAAUACCGAUACAGGGCUCUUUUGGGUCUUGUAAUUGGAAUGAGUACAAUUUAAAUCCCUUAACGAGGAACAAUUGGAGGGCAAGUCUGGUGAACGUUGCUGGUGCCAGAGAGAGUCGCCCCUCUGCAAAGCGACUAGUCGAGCGCCCGUCACGCGACGGGUGGGCGCCGGCGAGACAACCUGGAUCGGGGAAGGCUAAGGGCGCCGCGCCUAUGCUGAUCCCGAGCAGAGCCCACUGGGCCUGUGUAGAGCGCGCCAAGGUGUCGGUCCCGGGCGAGUCCCGGGGCUUGAGGUACGUGCCAAUCCCCCGCGAAAGCGGGGCCCUGCGGAGCAGCACCCGUCGUGCGAAGCCGCAGGGAGGUCUCCGGGGAACAUGUUCCCGCGAAAGGAGAUCGUGCCUAAUAAAUGGCCAGCAGCCGCGGUAAUUCCAGCUCCAAUAGCGUAUAUUAAAGUUGUUGUGGUUAAAAAGCUCGUAGUUGAACCUUGGGCCUGGCUGGCCGGUCCGCCUCACCGCGUGCACUGGUCCGGCCGGGUUCUUUCCCUCUGUGGAACCCCAUGUCCUUCACUGGCGUGGCGGGGAAACAGGGACUUUUACUUUGAAAAAUUAGAGUGCUCCAAGGCAGGCCUAAUGCUCGAAUACAUA
rnacentral:rRNA from 1 species